ACGAACGCUGGCGGCGCGCCUAACACAUGCAAGUCGAACGAGAGAUGAGGAGCUUGCUCUUCAAAUCGAGUGGCGAACGGGUGAGUAACGCGUGAGGAACCUGCCUCAAAGAGGGGGACAACAGUUGGAAACGACUGCUAAUACCGCAUAAGCCCACGGCUCGGCAUCGAGCAGAGGGAAAAGGAGCGAUCCGCUUUGAGAUGGCCUCGCGUCCGAUUAGCUAGUUGGUGAGGUAACGGCCCACCAAGGCGACGAUCGGUAGCCGGACUGAGAGGUUGAACGGCCACAUUGGGACUGAGACACGGCCCAGACUCCUACGGGAGGCAGCAGUGGGGAAUAUUGCACAAUGGGGGAAACCCUGGUGCAGCGACGCCGCGUGGAGGAAGAAGGUCUUCGGAUUGUAAACUCCUGUUGUUGAGGAAGAUAAUGACGGUACUCAACAAGGAAGUGACGGCUAACUACGUGCCAGCAGCCGCGGUAAAACGUAGGUCACAAGCGUUGUCCGGAAUUACUGGGUGUAAAGGGAGCGCAGGCGGGAGAACAAGUUGGAAGUGAAAUCCAUGGGCUCAACCCAUGAACUGCUUUCAAAACUGUUUUUCUUGAGUAGUGCAGAGGUAGGCGGAAUUCCCGGUGUAGCGGUGGAAUGCGUAGAUAUCGGGAGGAACACCAGUGGCGAAGGCGGCCUACUGGGCACCAACUGACGCUGAGGCUCGAAAGUGUGGGUAGCAAACAGGAUUAGAUACCCUGGUAGUCCACACAGUAAACGAUGAAUACUCGCUGUUUGCGAUAUACAGUAAGCGGCCAAGCGAAAGCGUUAAGUAUUCCACCUGGGGAGUACGCCGGCAACGGUGAAACUCAAAGGAAUUGACGGGGGCCCGCACAAGCGGUGGAGUAUGUGGUUUAAUUCGACGCAACGCGAAGAACCUUACCAAGUCUUGACAUCCCACUGACCGGACAGUAAUGUGUCCUUUCCUUCGGGACAGUGGUGACAGGUGGUGCAUGGUUGUCGUCAGCUCGUGUCGUGAGAUGUUGGGUUAAGUCCCGCAACGAGCGCAACCCUUAUGGUCAGUUACUACGCAAGAGGACUCUGGCCAGACUGCCGUUGACAAAACGGAGGAAGGUGGGGAUGACGUCAAAUCAUCAUGCCCUUUAUGACUUGGGCUACACACGUACUACAAUGGCGUUAAACAAAGAGAAGCAAGACCGCGAGGUGGAGCAAAACUCAGAAACAACGUCCCAGUUCGGACUGCAGGCUGCAACUCGCCUGCACGAAGUCGGAAUUGCUAGUAAUCGUGGAUCAGCAUGCCACGGUGAAUACGUUCCCGGGCCUUGUACACACCGCCCGUCACACCAUGAGAGCCGGGGGGACCCGAAGUCGGUAGUCUAACCGCAAGGAGGACGCCGCCGAAGGUAAAACUGGUGAUUGGGGUG
rnacentral:rRNA from 1 species